rnacentral:tRNA from 1 species
GGGUCUGAAGCUCAACUGGCUGAGCGGCCGGCUGUUAACCGGCGAGGUGCGGGUUCGAGUCCCGCCGGACCCU